UAUAGAUUGUUUUACUGAUGAUUACACUUAGUUGUAUCUAUAUUUUACUUUCAGGCAUUUUCUUAUAGUGCUUCUUUUGCAAAGAUUAAUCCUUUUGAUCUCUUUAAUCUGUUGUCUCACAUGCAUGACUAUUCAUUUUUUUGCAAAUAGAAGUUUUAUAUUGUUAUUGCAUCUGUUUGUUAUUACGAUAAUAUAAUAUUCAUGACAGUUACACUUUGUGAUAAAAUUUUAAUUGUUGCCAACAGAACACAGACAUGUUGGGUCGACGAAUUUCAAUUUGUUAAGCAGCAGAAGCCAUACAAUAUUUACAUUGACUAUAGAGAGCAGUGCAUUUGGUGAAAGCAGUGAAGGAGAAGCUGUAAACCUGUCUCAACUGGUUCCGAGAGCUCAAAAGCUGAAACUACUGGUAUAAGGCGAAAAGAGGGAUCAUAUAUUAAUAAAAGCCUGCUAACUCUUGGAAC